UACGGAGGGUGCAAGCGUUGUUCGGAAUCAUUGGGCGUAAAGCGCGUGUAGGCGGCUUGGCAAGUCGGUUGUGAAAGCCCGGGGCCCAACCCCGGAAUUGCAUCCGAAACUGCCUGGCUAGAGUCCCGGAGAGGAAGGCAGAAUUCCCGGUGUAGGGGUGAAAUCCGUAGAUAUUGGGAAGAACACCAGUGGCGAAGGCGGCUCACUGGUCCGAUACUGACGCUGAGGUGCGAAAGCGUGGGGAGCAAACAGG
rnacentral:rRNA from 1 species